GGUUAAGUGACUAAGCGUACACGGUGGAUGCCUUGGCAGUCAGAGGCGAUGAAGGACGUAUUAACUUGCGAUAAGCGUAGAUUAGGCAGUAAAAGCCACUUGAGUCUACGAUUUCCGAAUGGGGAAACCCACUAGCAUAAGCUAGUAUCGCUGCGUGAAUACAUAGCGCAGCGAGGCGAACUCGGGGAACUGAAACAUCUAAGUACCCGAAGGAAAAGAAAUCAACUGAGAUUCCGAAAGUAGCGGCGAGCGAAAUUGGACUAGCCCUUAAGCUUUAAAUGAUGCAGGUGAACACGCUGGAAAGCGUGGCAAUAAAGGGUGAUAGCCCCGUAACCGACACAUCAUUCUAAGUGAAAACGAGUAAGGCGGGACACGUGAUAUCCUGUUUGAAUAUGGGGGGACCAUCCUCCAAGGCUAAAUACUACUGACUGACCGAUAGUGAACCAGUACCGUGAGGGAAAGGCGAAAAGAACCCCUGUGAGGGGAGUGAAAUAGAACCUGAAACCGUGUACGUACAAGCAGUAGGAGCAAGGUAAUGCCUUGUGACUGCGUACCUUUUGUAUAAUGGGUCAGCGACUUAUAUUCAGUGGCAAGGUUAACCGUAUAGGGGAGCCGUAGGGAAACCGAGUCUUAACUGGGCGCUUUAGUCUCUGGAUAUAGACCCGAAACCGAGUGAUCUAGCCAUGGGCAGGUUGAAGAUUGAGUAACAUCAAUUGGAGGACCGAACCGACUAAUGUUGAAAAAUUAGCGGAUGACUUGUGGCUAGGGGUGAAAGGCCAAUCAAACUCGGAGAUAGCUGGUUCUCCCCGAAAGCUAUUUAGGUAGCGCCUCGGACGAAUACUACUGGGGGUAGAGCACUGUUAAGGCUAGGGGGUCAUCCCGACUUACCAACCCUUUGCAAACUCCGAAUACCAGUAAGUACUAUCCGGGAGACACACGGCGGGUGCUAACGUCCGUCGUGGAGAGGGAAACAACCCAGACCGCCAGCUAAGGUCCCAAAUUACUACUAAGUGGGAAACGAUGUGGGAAGGCUCAGACAGCCAGGAUGUUGGCUUAGAAGCAGCCAUCAUUUAAAGAAAGCGUAAUAGCUCACUGGUCGAGUCGGCCUGCGCGGAAGAUGUAACGGGGCUAAGUAGUAAACCGAAGCUGCGGCUGCAAUCG
rnacentral:rRNA from 1 species